ensembl:lncRNA
GGCGUCUCCGUUAAUUUAUCAUCAGCUACAGCUGCCACUCAUUACCUACUCUCUAUUUAUUGCCCUGUCUUUCAUCUUUUGUUUGUCAGAUCGUUUUUGAAGCUCCCUGUGUUGCAUGCCUGGUCUCUCGUCGUUGUUUCUGCCUGUUUCUCAGCUACGCUGGAUCGCUUCUCUCCUGGGACCCCACCCACUAACCUCUCCACUGGAUCGCCCAUCUCAGUUCCUGCGUCACACUCUCCUGCUGUCCAAUUCCACCUCUACUUCCUGGCCACCCCUGACGUUAUCUCUCUGCAUCCAGUUGUCCUAUUGGUUUUCCUCUUAUCAUCUGUAUCACAAUUCACUGAAAUAUAUUUCACAUGCAUUUGCUUCCUCGCCCAAUUCACUGAUGCAUUUGUUUAGAACUGUUUUGGCUUGCAUAUGGUUCUUGAUCUGCGCAUAUUUCUCUUCUGAUACACAUGGUUGGAUUUGAAAAAACCAAGCAACAGUCUUGUCAAGUCUUUGAACUGAUCAUUUGAAAUGAUCAGUCUAUAAUGAUGGAUUUCAUUAUAAACAAAUGCAGACGAUUUAGAUUACUUGUGGAUUAUUGUGAUGUUUUUAUCAGCUGUUUGGACUCUCAUUCUGAUGGCACCCAUUGACUGCAGAGGAACCAUUGGUGAGCUAGAGAUGUAAUGCUACAUUUCUCUAAAUCUGAAAUGAUGAAGAAAUAAUCUUUAUAUCUUGGAUGUCCUGAGAGUGAGUACAUUUUCAGCAGAUUUUCAGUUUUGGGUGAACUAUUCAUUGAACUAAUAAUAACUCUGCCUCUACCACCUUGAAAUCAAAGUUUGGCACCACUGGCAUUAUGUUGGAUUGACAGUUUUGGACUGAGACACAGAGUGAUGUGCCGUGUACAGACAUUUGAAUUUCACACAUUGACUAAAACUCCUGGCUGUGUCUUUCUGGAGAUACUCAUCUUUGACGCUUACCCGCCAGUGUCAGGGAUAAUCUUUGUCUCACAUAUCCCCAAACAGCACAAAGGAUUUUUGAUCGCUACAAAUCAUUUUGUCUGACACACUGGUGAUGAAAUACAGCACUGAUAGUGUGAGAUGUCAUUUAAUUUGAGCUGGAGCUUCUAUAAAAUGACUCUUCUGUCUAUAA